GACGAACGCUGGCGGCGUGCUUAACACAUGCAAGUGGGGGCGACGAACCAGGCUUCGGCCUGGGGGCAAAGCCGCGAACGGGUGAGUAACACGUGGGUAACCUGCCCCGAAGACUGGGACAACCCGGGGAAACCCGGGCUAAUACCGGAUGUGGUCAUCGUUCACAAGGACGAUGAGCAAAGGAAGCUUCGGCCUCCGCUUCGGGAUGGGCCCGCGGCCCAUUAGCUUGUUGGUGAGGUAACGGCUCACCAAGGCUCGAUGGGUAGCUGGUCUGAGAGGACGAUCAGCCACACUGGGACUGAGACACGGCCCAGACUCCUACGGGAGGCAGCAGUGGGGAAUCUUGCGCAAUGCGCGAAAGCGUGACGCAGCAACGCCGCGUGGGGGAAGAC
rnacentral:rRNA from 1 species